AUAGUCAGGGGCGGGACCUCUGUGAUUGGCCGUGGUCCUGUAGUUGUCCCGUAGUCCUUUGUGUACGUUUGAAAGUGCAGGUGGAUAGAGAGAGUUCAGAGGAGGGACAGCUGACACAACAACCUGCAGAGAAACACCUGAACAAGUCCACAGACCAAUCUCUAUAAAAACUCUGUGUGGAGUUACCUGUGGGAGGGACCUCAGCAGCAGGAGUUUGACCUUGAUCGGUCAGUGGCUUCACCAUAGAGCCA